AGAGAAAGACUGACAGAAGAGAGUGAGCACACACGAAAGCUAAUUGUAUGAAAGCAUACCAUUGCAGGGUGUGUGCUCACUUCUCUUCUGUCAGCUUACAU
rnacentral:pre_miRNA from 1 species